UCCGCUCCCGCUGAGCCGCUCAGAGCCGAUCCUGAGCAUUUCUCAUCAGUGAUCAGAGGGAGCGGACGGAAUGGACACCUGCAGGAAACAAGUGGAGAUGACAGGCAGGAUUGACAAAUACGAUGAACUGGUUUCGACUUAUGAAGUUAUGUAUUCAUUGGCUAAAUAAGAUGCAGAUUGCUCUGCACAAGACCCUGUUGCUGUCUCUGGCUCAGCUGGGGGGAGAGCAGUGCUGCCCUGUUCUUACACCCCCACCCCUGGGCAGGAUGUAGAAGUCAGAUGGCAUGCAUAUCCAGAUCAGGGAGAAGCUGUUCCAUUAAUCAACUCAAAGACCCCCUCAGCACCCAUCCCUGCGCAGUGGAGCGGCCGAGUGAAGCUGUCUGAUGAAGUCUCCUCUGGAAACGCCUCUCUGCUAAUCUCUGAGCUCAGACUGGAGGACACUCUGCAUUACCUGUGUGACGUGUGGAUCAAUGGGAUAUGUGUCACUUACAGGAAUGUUAAACUGACAGUUCAAGCUUGCCCUCCACUAGACCGUGUUGCUGUCUCUGGCUCAGCUGGGGGGAGAGCAGUGCUGCCCUGUUCUUACACCCCCACCCCUGGGCAGCAUGUAGAAGUCAGAUGGUAUGCAUAUUCAGAUCAGGGAGAAGCUGUUCUAUUAAUCAACUCAAAGACUCCCUCAGCACCCAUCCCUGCGCAGUGGAGCGGCCGAGUGAAGCUGUCUGAUGAAGUCUCCUCUGGAAACGGCUCUCUGCUAAUCUCUGAGCUCAGACUGCAGGACACUCGGGAUUACAUAUGUAUAGUGUGGAUCAAUAGGAUAUGUGUCACUAACAGGAAUGUUAAACUGACAGUUCAAGGACCUCCAAAGAGAGAUUCAACUACUUCAAGAACAACAACGACCACAACCCCGACAACUAGACCAUCAGCAACCCCGACAACUAGACCAUCAGCAACCCCGACAACUAGACCAUCAGCAACCCAGGAAACCAGCCCAUGCCCAACCCAGCAGGGGAAUGCAGCAGCACAGAGGAGAUCGUUCUGCAUGAAACCGCUUUGAUAACUGGAUUCUAAUUGGAUUGCAUCUACCUGUAUUUAGUGAGUGUUGUGAGUUAAGCGGAAGUUCAAUUAUUCCUGUGUGUUGCUGCUGCUGGUUCCCUAUGCCAGUAUAGUCCAUUGUGAAAGAGUAUUGCUGUUACUGUAACCCGCUGCAUCCUGCCUGUGCCUGCAUCUCUUCAUUUCUAUAUCAUUUUAAUAAGAGCGUUUUAGCAUUUUGAUAUAUUUCAUUUUCUAUUCAUCACUGAUUGCUGUUGCUUUAUUUGUUAAUAAAGUAGUUGGUGCUGUUUACUAUAGAUCAUUGUUACAUACAGUUCUAAAUUCUUUUUAGGAAUAUUAUGUAUAAAAUGCAUUAGAGAAAAAGCUUCUACUUGGUCUUUCAAAUUAAAAACAGUGAAUUACUAAAUGUUAAUUGCACAUUGAAAUGUGUUAUUGCUUUUCCUUUUUUGCUUAUGAAUAAUAAAAUAUUUAGCUGUG